UGUCACUGGAGUAAAAUUAGAAACCCUUUCAAAAAUGUACGAUGAAAAAAACAUGUUACAACCCAAAAAAUAAUUAUAGGCAUGAUUUCAGAUACAUACAUUUCGAGUUAAAUUAAAAAGAAAUAUGAAAAAUAUGGAAUAAACAUACAAAGAAGAUUCUUCAACCUAGUGAAGGAAAAUGGGGCAAGUGGAUGAAACAGUGUCAACUCCCAGGAUGGCUAAAAGUUCUUCUGGUGCAAAGAAAUCAUCUGCAAAGACCUCUGUACAAUUUUUAAAGGAACCUAUUAAUUUCUGUGACCCUAAAAUACAAGGCAUUUUACUAGUGGGACUCUUAGCCGUUUUGGCAUUAGCGCUUUGGUUUGGUUUUACGCAUGGAUGCUUGGGAACAAGACGUCGACGCAGGAGACGUUCGUGUAGUUGAACUGAUGCUGGACAUUGAAGGUGUAACAACAAAAUUAAAUGAAGCUCGACGACGAUCAGUGAGAAGACCCAAUCAUGGUGGUUAAGGUUUCUGAAAAUUGCAACCCAAUUGUAUUGCAAGUACAAAUAAAUCCUUAGUUCUUCUAUAAAUUUGUAAAAUAAAUAUUAUUGUGUAAAAUAAAUAUUAUUUCUCUCAA